rnacentral:rRNA from 1 species
UACGUAGGUGGCAAGCGUUGUCCGGAUUUACUGGGCGUAAAGAGCGCGCAGGCGGUCGUGCAAAGUCGCGUGUGAAAGCCCCCGGCUCAACUGGGGAGGGUCACGCGAUACUGCUCGACUUGAAGGCAGGAGAGGGAAGUGGAAUUCCCGGUGUAGUGGUGAAAUGCGUAGAUAAUCGGGAGGAACACCAGUGGCGAAGGCGACUUCCUGGCCUGUUCUUGACGCUGAGGCGCGAAAGCUAGGGUAGCAAACGGG